rnacentral:tRNA from 1 species
UGCGCGCUAGUCUAAUGGCAAAACGCCGGGCUCAUAAUCCGGAUUUCCAGGUUCGAAUCCUGGGUGCGCAA